GCAACAACAUGCUGAGUUGAUCCAAUCCUCUUCAGUUUGGGCAAGUCCAAGGGUUUGAAAGUGUAAACCACACCCAACGGGUGCAAAUUAGUCAUCCUCUCAGUGUCCGAAAUUGCACAAUCCUGUCUGACAUCUCUCUACCACCUCCACCUCCUGAUGAGGACGUAACACCCUUGGCUGUAUAUAAAAUAAGUGCUUUUUCCUUUUCUCAGAAUUUAAGGAUCCACCAUACCGGAUUAAAUGUCUGUUAUGUUUACCAAAAGUUCAGGAAAUGCUAGCGUUCAAGAACUCAUGGUCGACCCUAAAAAAACACCAUUAAGAGAAAGCAUGUACACAAUCUUAAGAAGUAUGGUGAACUGAUGGCAAUCACACUGAAGAGAACAUCCCCCAAAGACUCCCUACACCAUCAACAACCGUUAAGAGAGUUUGUCAAGGAUCUGCAGCCUAACUCGAAGAUCUUAUCAAGGCCCACACUACGCUCCAGGAUUGAAGCUACCAAGGAAAUGAAGGUGACUGAGGCCAUGAGAGGAGUUGACCACAUCACCAUCACCACCAACUGAUUGUCUGCAAGAAGACUGAGCUUCAUUGGUGUUGCAGCCCAGUGGAUAGACCCUGACAGUCUGACCCUGACAGUCACACACCUUUGAUGUGUUGGCAGGCGCCCUAAAUCCAUUCUGAGUUUGAAAUCUGGGUUAAGAUUGUGAGAACAGACAACAGCUCUAAUUUCUUAAACUUUUCAAGUUUUUGUAGAAGAUGAUAACAACAAGACUAGAAGCAGUGGGUGGUGAAGAAGUCGAAUUUGUUGAGGUGGCAACGAUCCUCAAUGAAGAUGGUUUUGAGUACCAGCUGCCGACGCACCAGCGCUGUGCUUGUUACCUAUUCAACUUAGUAUCUACAGUCGAUGCCCUGAAAGCAACAUCCGGUGAGGCUUACAAAAAGGUGUCCCGUUCAACAUUUGACAAGUGCUAAGCACUUUGGAACAUGCAGAAGAUCCACACUUACAGCCGAAUCAGUUGAAGCGACCUCCAAGUGCCAUGCCCAAAUGCUACAAGGUGGAACUCCUGGUUCAUGGCUGUAGAAAUAAUCUUCAAAGACAAAGGAUAGGCGGAUGUCAGAGUUCUCUGAACAUUUUUCAAACCAGCUGAACUCGCCUUUCUCAGAGUUUGCUGCCACCAUGAGCCGAGUCGCAAUGGCCGUCAACAUCCUGCCGGCUGAAACCAAUGUCCAGAUGGGGGUGGCUACUUCCAACUAUCAAACUGCUGAUCACAAAACUGGACUGAAUCAAGUUGUCCCUGAAGUCCGGUAAGCCUCUGGUGGAUGUGCUACAACUGGGACUGAAUCAAGUUGUCCCUGAAGUCCUGUAAGCCUCUGGUGGAUGUGCUACAACUGGGACUGAAUCAAGUUGUCCCUGAAGUCCAGAAGCCUCUGGUGGAUGUGCUACAACUGGGACUGAAUCAAGUUGUCCCUGAAGUACUGUAAGCCUCUGGUGGAUGCCCUACAACUGGGACUGAAUCAAGUUGUUCCUGAAGUCCAGAAGCCUCUGGUGGAUGCCCUACAACUGGGACUGAAUCAAGUUGUCCCUGAAGUCCUAUAAGCCUCUGGUGGAUGUGCUACAACUGGGACUGAAUCAAGUUGUCCCUGAAGUACUGUAAGCCUCUGGUGGAUGUGCUACAACUGGGACUGAAUCAAGUUGUCCCUGAAGUACGGGAGAGCCUCUGGUGGAUGUGCUACAACUGGGACUGAAUCAAGUUGUCCCUGAAGUCCUGUAAGCCUCUGGUGGAUGCCCUACAACUGGGACUGAAUCAAGUUGUCCCUGAAGUCCUAUAAGCCUCUGGAUGUGCUACAACUGGGACUGAAUUUAUUUAUUUAUUUUAUUUU